rnacentral:rRNA from 1 species
GGAUGAACGCUAGCUACAGGCUUAACACAUGCAAGUCGAGGGGCAGCAUGGUCUUAGCUUGCUAAGGCUGAUGGCGACCGGCGCACGGGUGAGUAACACGUAUCCAACCUGCCGUCUACUCUUGGCCAGCCUUCUGAAAGGAAGAUUAAUCCAGGAUGGCAUCAUGAGUUCACAUGUCCGCAUGAUUAAAGGUAUUUUCCGGUAGACGAUGGGGAUGCGUUCCAUUAGAUAGUAGGCGGGGUAACGGCCCACCUAGUCAACGAUGGAUAGGGGUUCUGAGAGGAAGGUCCCCCACAUUGGAACUGAGACACGGUCCAAACUCCUACGGGAGGCAGCAGUGAGGAAUAUUGGUCAAUGGGCGAUGGCCUGAACCAGCCAAGUAGCGUGAAGGAUGACUGCCCUAUGGGUUGUAAACUUCUUUUAUAAAGGAAUAAAGUCGGGUAUGCAUACCCGUUUGCAUGUACUUUAUGAAUAAGGAUCGGCUAACUCCGUGCCAGCAGCCGCGGUAAU